AUUGAACGCUGGCGGCAGGCCUAACACAUGCAAGUCGAGCGGAUGAAGAGAGCUUGCUCUCUGAUUCAGCGGCGGACGGGUGAGUAAUGCCUAGGAAUCUGCCUGGUAGUGGGGGACAACGUCUCGAAAGGGACGCUAAUACCGCAUACGUCCUACGGGAGAAAGCAGGGGACCUUCGGGCCUUGCGCUAUCAGAUGAGCCUAGGUCGGAUUAGCUAGUUGGUGAGGUAAUGGCUCACCAAGGCGACGAUCCGUAACUGGUCUGAGAGGAUGAUCAGUCACACUGGAACUGAGACACGGUCCAGACUCCUACGGGAGGCAGCAGUGGGGAAUAUUGGACAAUGGGCGAAAGCCUGAUCCAGCCAUGCCGCGUGUGUGAAGAAGGUCUUCGGAUUGUAAAGCACUUUAAGUUGGGAGAAGGGUUGUAGAUUAAUACUCUGCAAUUUUGACGUUACCGACAGAAUAAGCACCGGCUAACU
rnacentral:rRNA from 1 species